rnacentral:miRNA from 1 species
AACUGAGGGCGAGGCGGGAGACGA